UAAGAAUGGGACACAAGAGGCAGACAUUCCUUUUUCUGUUUGUUGUUUAUUUUUUUGCACCUGGUCUCCAUGUAGUCAAGUUGUCUUCAAACGUUAUCUUUUUGCCUUAUUGUUCUCAGUGCUGAGAAGUUUGGUUGAGCUACUACACCAAGGGGGGUAAUUGUGUGUGUGUGUGUGUGUGUGUGUGUGAAAAUUUUCAUAUAUGUAAAUUCAUAUAUGGCAAGGCCCUACUGAAGAGCUCUUCUUUAACACUAGAAUCAGGCUGUUUCUCCUCAAUCUUCCAGAAGGUUAGGCAAUAGUAUUAUUCCAUUACACAUUCGAAGGAUCUGUCUUUGUCAUUGUUCUGCAAACUCUAGCUCCUUUGUAUUCCCUGGUGUUGUGGAUUGAAUGUGAAGUGUUUUCCAGAGGCUCACAUUUAAAGUCUGGGCUCCAGCAUGGGGUGUUGUUUGGGGACCCAUAGGAGGUGGAGUCUCACCAUAAGAGGUGGGGCCCUAGGGGUAGGCCCUUGAGGUUUUACAGAACAGCUCUUCUUCCUGACUCGGGAUGUAUUCCAGUCAGCUGCCUUAAAGUCCACCAUGAUGCCUUCUUAAACUAAGAGCCAAAAUAAGCCUCCUUUUUCUAAAGUUGUUUCUGUCAAUUACUGUGUCAUAGCAAUGAGACAAGCAAGUUAUAGAGAUGGCCUCAUGGAUCCAACCUGUGAGCUCUGACAGCAUGUAAAGCGCUUCCCUACCUGUUAGCUCUGUCAGCUGGUAACACCCUCCCCAACUUCUUUGGUGGCUUCCUGAGGGAUCUGUCAGGAAGAUUCACACACUGAACUAUUUUGUUCCCGUGUUCCCAGAAGUCACUGCCCUUCAUUACCCACUGCCUGUUGACUUUAAGAUCAUGGCAUCCUAUAUCUCUCUGGGUUUCUACAGUUGUUUCAAAUGCUAAGAUCUUUAGGAGUCCAUCUUAGCCAGAAGUCGACCCAAGCCAACAAUGUAUGAAUCUUUCUGGUUCACAAAUUCCAACACAUAAAGUGAUAAUUAGAUGUGUGCUGGAUUAAAUUUUGUUUAAAUAAUGGACUUCAUAGGCUCUUACACACACACACACACACACACACACACACACACACACACACACACACCCUGCACUGCGAAGCCAGAUUCUUUCUUUCGUUUGUUCGUUCAUUCGUUCGUUCGUUCGUUCUUUCUUUUUUUCUUUUUUUUUUUUUCAGAGAGGUGAGAUCAUCUGAAAUAUAGAUGGAAAAAGAGAAAGUGAUCCCAGAAGGGCUGCCUGGAAGCGUCAUGGGCAACAAAGACCGGUGGGCCUCACGGAAGUGUGUGUGUAUAUGGUGUGUGUUUGUGUGUGUGUGUAUGUGGUGUGUGUUUGUGUGUGUGUAUGUGGUUUGUGUGUGUGUGUUUGUGUGUAUGUGGUGUGUGUUUGUGUGUGUGUGUAUGUGGUGUGUGUGUAUGUGGUGUGUGUGUUUGUGUGUGUGUGUUUCAUUCACAGAUCCAAGGAGUUCCUGAGCAGGUGACUGGAAGCCCAAACUCACCUACAGAGCCAGAUUUAGGUUGGGAAAGUGAUGUAGUGAAGGCCUCAAAGCUGGGAAGAGGAGGGACUCCACAGGUGAGCUGAGAGCAAGUGACAUCCACUCCCACAGAGGCUGCAGGUUCGCUGGGGCUUCUUCUCUGGGGGAUUCUAGGACCAAACCAAUGACAGUUUUUUUUUUUUAAUUUCUCUUCUCUAAUUCUUUUCAGUAGUUAGAAUUGUUUUUAUUUUUAAAGAAAAAGGAAGUCGUUGUAAUUUUUCUGAGUUGGGGCAUUAACUACUUUUCCUGCUGUGACCAAAUACCCAAAGAAGAGCAUCCUAAGCGAAGAAGGCCGCAUCCAGGUCCACAGUUUGAGGCUCUGGUUCCUCAAGGUGGGGAAGGCAUGGAACAGGAGUGGAGGAACCUGGGCAUGAGGCUUCAUAAGAAGGAAGCAGAGGAAGUUGGAUUGGUUCCUCAGCCAGCUCUAUCUUUUUAAGCAAGCCUGGACUUCAUCCCUCAGAAUGUGCUGCCUAAUUCAGGGGAUCCCGUGCUGCCCAAGAAGACAAAUCUGUGAGCAUAUCUGGGAAGCACUUCCUGGAUGGAGGACGUUGAGAUGGGAAGACCCACCUAAGUGUGGAUGUGGUCCUUGGCUAUAUAAAAGGAGAAGACUUUCAAGAUUCAUCUAUGAUAUGUUUUAUAAAACAAGAACCUAAGACAAUUGGGAUGAGGAAGUGGGUCAAGUCCUAGGAGAGCCGGCUGUUUCAUUUCUGUCCAGGGUCUGUGGGACCACCUGCAGAUUUUUCGAGGCACUGAGAACACGAUGAGAAGCACAGACACGGUCCCUGUCCUCAUGGAGGUUACCAUCUGGCAAGGCAGCAGGAGGAGGUGCUGUGGGGGGACAGGGAGAGGCGAGUCUGGAAGCAUCUCUGAAGAAACACUCUCCCGGCCUCUGCAUACGAUCUCCAAGCACAGCACAGGAAGAUAACAUUCAAGGGAUGCCUCAGCUCCCUUAGCAGAUACCUGUUACCUCCUGAAUCAACACCCAGUGUCUCCGCCGCCUGACCUCAUCGUCUACCGCCUGACCUCUUUGCCUCCAGCUAUCACUACCUAUACCCUCAUCUCCCCCUCCUCUGUGUUUCACAAAGGACACCCCCCUACCUGAAAGCCUUAAAAGCUGUAAUGUUCACCCCAAUAAACAAGACCUUGGCAAUAGAAUCUUGCUUGGUCUCCUUCUUCUCUCGCCCCCCAUUUAGGCCCAAGGGUAGCACCCCUUCGGGACCCUGAAUAACUGGGUCCCCGCUGGCGGGGACAGCAAGCAAGUGAGUUUGCUGGAGAUUGCCCACCAGUUUGCGUGGCUACAAGGGGGUGCUCUGUGAGGCAGUGACCCCAGAUACUUCAUUUCUGGAUUGCUUUUUACUACUGAUAAGCCUUUCCUGCCAUUAUUACAUUGCCUAAUGAUUCCUGGGCAU